UAAGGAAUAUUGGACAAUGGGCGAGAGCCUGAUCCAGCCAUGCCGCGUGCAGGAAGAAGGCCCUAUGGGUCGUAAACUGCUUUUGAACGAGAGAAAACCCGAGUACGUGUACUCGGCUGAUAGUAUCGUUAGAAUAAGCAUCGGCUAACUUCGUGCCAGCAGCCGCGGUAAGACGAAGGAUGCAAGCGUUAUCCGGAUUCAUUGGGUUUAAAGGGAGCGUAGGCGGACUUGUAAGUCAGUGGUGAAAUCUGUGGGCUUAACCCACAAACUGCCAUUGAUACUGCAGGUCUAGAGUACAGUUGCCGUUGGCGGAAUAUGACAUGUAGUGGUGAAAUACUUAGAUAUGUCAUAGAACACCGAUUGCGAAGGCAGCUAACGAAGCUGUAACUGACGCUGAGGCUCGAAAGUGCGGGGAUCAAACAG
rnacentral:rRNA from 1 species